rnacentral:rRNA from 1 species
GUGCAGCAGUCGCGAAUUUUUCUCAAUGGGCGAAAGCCUGAAGGAGCGACGCCGCGUGGAGGAUGAAGGCUUUCGGGUCGUAAACUCCUGUCAUUUGAGAACAAGUGUAGCCAAAUAACUACUGGCUACUUGAUAGUAUCAGAAGGGGAAGGGACGGCUAACUCUGUGCCAGCAGCCGCGGUAAUACAGAGGUCCCAAGCGUUGUUCGGAUUCAUUGGGCGUAAAGGGUGCGUAGGUGGCGCCGUAAGUGGGGUGUGAAAUUUCGGAGCUUAACUCCGAAACUGCAUUCCAUACUGCGGUGCUUGAGGACUGGAGAGGAGACUGGAAUUCAUGGUGUAGCAGUGAAAUGCGUAGAGAUCAUGAGGAAGACCAGUGGCGAAGGCGGGUCUCUGGACAGUUCCUGACACUGAGGCACGAAGGCUAGGGGAGCGAACGGGAUUAGAUACCCCUGUAGU